ACUCAAAUGAAUUGACGGGGACCCGCACAAGCGGUGGAUUAUGUGGAUUAAUUCGAUGCAACGCGAAAAACCUUACCUACCCUUGACAUGUCCUGGAGGCUGGGGAAACCCGGCUGUGCCCGAAAGGGAACGGGAACACAGGUGCUGCAUGGCUGUCGUCAGCUCGUGUCGUGAGAUGUUGGGUUAAGUCCCGCAACGAGCGCAACCCUUGUCAUUAGUUGCUACAUUUAGUUGGGCACUCUAAUGAGACUGCCGGUGACAAACCGGAGGAAGGUGGGGAUGACGUCAAGUCCUCAUGGCCCUUAUGGGUAGGGCUUCACACGUAAUACAAUGGCGCGUACAGAGGGUUGCCAAGGCGCGAGCUGGAGCCAAUCCCUAUAAAGCGCGUCGUAGUCCGGAUUGCAGUCUGCAACUCGACUGCAUGAAGUCGGAAUCGCUAGUAAUCGCGGAUCAGCAUGUCGCGGUGAAUACGUUCCCGGGUCUUGUACACACCGCCCGU
rnacentral:rRNA from 1 species